UUACACAAGCACGAUCCAUGCUGCCAUAUGUGCGCACUAAUGGACACCCACAUUUCCAGGUUCAAAGCCUUCUGGAUAUACCGUGGCUGCUAGUCCUGGUGUUCGAGCUUUUAACCACGCAGCAAAUGUCGGUUGACAUGGGCCGGUUUGAUACGCUUGAACGACAAUCACAUGUGCUGCAGAUGAUACUAGAUACACUUGAGCAGACACUAAGAUUACCUAUGACCCACAUUUCCGGGAUCGGUUUAGCUAGACUGGAGAGGCGACGGAUGCGUUGCAAAUAUUCUCUGAUCUCGCCUUACACCGACAAAAGAAACAGCUGAAAGGGGAGUAACUGUGAAAUAUUUAGACUACAAUAAUUAGUUAGAGUCACCUGAAGGUUCACAAGGUUGAUUUUAGCAACUUUUCAGCACCUGAAUUAAUCGUGAAUUUUCUUUAUCACUACAAUGUAGAGUGCAAUUAUUGGUGUUAUAUCUUCUAUAUGAUCAACAAAAGGCAAAUGGUGCAUAGAUGUAGUAUGGUUAUUUAGUAAGGAUCGUUAUCAUAAACUCAUGUCUUAACUCAAAGAUGCAAAUGCAUCAGGAAAACCCCUGCUGUGUAUGAGAUUCAAACUCUUUCCCUUUUUAUGUCUUAACGUAUUUUGUGGGUUCGGGUCGUGCCAGGGACUUCGUACUCUUUCAUGUGAGGAAGCUAUUCAGCAAGCUUACAAAAGAACGGUGGUUUUACUCAGAUUCCUGCUCGUCCCAAAGGAAAUGCCUGAAUGGGCACUUGAGGUCUUCCUCCACCAAGGUACACAACACAAAGUUCAGAACAAGAUUUAAAAUGAAGCUCUAGCCCUCAGGUAUCCCGUGCCUAUGUACGACGGCUUUACCUUCUAAAAUGAAGAAAUAAUGGCCAAAAACUACAAUUUGUUCGCAGGACAAAAUAAAUAAAAUUAUAAUAAAAUAAAAAUAGAAGUAUAAGUAUUUGCUUCCAUUGACUGUAUCACAGUUCACAAAUUUGAAUUUGCUCUUUCAAAAUGUAAAUUGAGAUUUAGUGUCACCUCUACUUGCUGUAUUGUUAAAUAAGUAAUUUGGCACUAAGUGCUUUGUGGUGUAUACUAAUGGACAUAAAUUUAUGGUCAUUUCCAAUUCAAUCUUUGGCUUAUAA